rnacentral:rRNA from 1 species
UACGGAGGGGGCUAGCGUUGUUCGGAAUUACUGGGCGUAAAGCGCGCGUAGGCGGACCUGCAAGUCGGGGGGUGAAAGCCCGAGGCUCAACCUCGGAACUGCCUUCGAUACUGCGGGUCUCGAGUCCGGGAGAGGUGAGUGGAAUUCCUAGUGUAGAGGUGAAAUUCGUAGAUAUUAGGAAGAACACCAGUGGCGAAGGCGGCUCACUGGCCCGGUACUGGACGCUGAGGCGCGAAAGCGUGGGGGAGCAAACAGG